GCGUGUUUUUAUUCUGCAUCAACAUUGUUACCUACCUAUUAAAGUUAUUCUGCCGUUAUUAACGCCCUUAAAAUGCCUCUCACGCCAGCUGAGAAGCAAGCAAGUUAACAGAAACAGAUCGAAGUUAUUUACAGGUUAUAUAAAAUUUAAGUAACAAUUAGAAACAGUUAACAAGAGAUAGGAGACGUAUAAAAAACAAUGCAACAGAGAAAAACGAAAGAAGUCUAAAAAUAAGGACGGCAAUCCAGAAAAUCCAGUAAAUGCUAUUAAAAAUGGCCAUGAAAAAGUUAAGAAUCUGAAGGAAAAGUAUGCUAUUGAUAAAAUAUUCGACAAGAAGGCCGUUAAAAUGUCUAGGCAGGAAAUACAAAUUAUACAAGAGUGUCUUGCUGUGGAUCAAAGUUUCAUAUGAAAAAAAUCAGCCCACAUGUAAGAAAAAUGUUUUUAGAACCAAAAUCAACCUUUUCGAACGUGACGACAUAUCAAAAGUAUGCAAUUUAUUCACUUAUAGUACAAAAAGAACAACUAAGUUACUGUGUUACAACUCUGUUACUUUCGUGUCCCGAAGAUUAAAGAACUUAGUUACGAAAUUUAGGAAAAGCUAUUCAAUAUAAUACUGCUAAAUUACAAUAGGUUAAUUUGUCAGUUAAUGAAGCGGUUAUAUGUUGUAAUUAGCUGUUAAUUUACAGAUAUUUCAUGGAGUAGUGUAGAAUUUAAGGUUUGUUAUUAUUCAUAAAGUAACAGAGUUGACUAAAAUUGUAAAUAAAUUACUGUUAAACUUAAAAAAAGCUUGUGCUUCUUAUGGUGAUUAUAAGAUAUAAGACUGUAAUUAAUAUAAAAGCCAAAAUAUGUGCGACUGGCUUAUUUAAUUUAAUGAUAAAAGGUAAAGUGUAAUAAUAACA